UUCACACUGUCAAGAAAAGCUUCUAUCAAGUUUAAAGGCGCCCGUACCGUAAACCGACACAGGUGGGUGAGGAGAGUAUCCUAAGGCCAGCGAGAGGACUAUUGUUAAGGAACUCGGCAAAAUGACCCCGUAACUUAGGGAGAAGGGGUGCCUGUCUAUGACAGGCCGCAGAGAAUAGGCCCAAGCGACUGUUUACCAAAAACACAGGUUUCUGCUAAGUCGCAAGACGAUGUAUAGGAGCUGACGCCUGCCCGGUGCUGGAAGGUUAAGGGGAUCUGUUAGAGCAAUCGAAGCAGUGAACUUAAGCCCCAGUAAACGGCGGCCGUAACAAUAACGGUCCUAAGGUAGCGAAAUUCCUUGUCGGGUAAGUUCCGACCCGCACGAAAGGCGUAACGAUUUGGGCACUGUCUCAACAAUAGACUCGGUGAAGUUGUAAUCCCGGUGAAGAUGCCGGGUACCUGCGACAGGACGGAAAGACCCCAUGGAGCUUUACUGUAGCUUGACGUUGGGUCUUGGUACUACAUGUACAGGAUAGGUGGGAGACUAUGAAGCAUGGACGCCAGUCUGUGUGGAGUCAUCCUUGGGAUACCACCCUUGUAGUACUGGGAUCCUAACCAUAGGCCUUGAAUCAGGUCUUGGAACACCGUCAGGUGGGCAGUUUGACUGGGGCGGUCGCCUCCUAAAAAGUAACGGAGGCGCUCAAAGGUUUCCUCAGCACGGUCGGAAAUCGUGCGAAGAGUGUAAAGGCAAAAGGAAGCUUGAUUGCAAGACAUACAGGUCGAGCAGGGACGAAAGUCGGACUUAGUGAUCCGGUGGUACCGCAUGGAAGGGCCAUCGCUCAACGGAUAAAAGCUACCCUGGAUAACAGGCUUAUCUCCCCCAAGAGUCCACAUCGACGGGGAGGUUUGGCACCUCGAUGUCGGCUCAUCACAUCCUGGGGCUGUAGUAGGUCCCAAGGGUUGGGCUGUUCGCCCAUUAAAGUGGUACGCGAGCUGGGUUCAGAACGUCGUGAGACAGUUCGGUCCCUAUCCGUCGCAGGCGUAGGAAAUUUGAGAAGACCUGUCCUUAGUACGAGAGGACCGGGAUGGACGUACCUCUGGUGUACCAGUUGUUCUGCCAAGGGCAUGGCUGGGUAGCUAUGUACGGAAUGGAUAAGCGCUGAAAGCAACUAAGCGCGAAGCCAACUUCAAGAUAAGAUUUCCCACCGUAAGGGUAAGACCCCAGGAAGACUACCUGGUUGAUAGGUCGAAGGUGUAAGUGCAGUAAUGUAUUUAGCUUAUCGAUACUAAUAGGUCGAGGACUUGACC
rnacentral:rRNA from 1 species